AAAAAGAUCAGAAUAUAAUACCAAGUCCAUGACUUCAUACACAAGAGAGGCAGUUUAUAUUCUAUUCUAGUGCCUAUAAAAUAGCUAUAUCUUUUACUUGAAUUAUAAAAAAAUAAAAAAAUAAAAUUAAUUAAUUACAUUGAUACAGGUUAUUUGCUUUCCUACUUUAAUAUUACAGUAAAAUAUACAUCUUUCCUAUUUUACUUGAUUGUCUUCAACACUCCCCUUCAAGUUGAAGUGGAUGUUGACGACCACCCAACUUGUUAAGUAGUACUUCAACCUCUGAUGUACUCAAUGCCUUAGUAAAUAAGUCUGCAGUUUGAUCAUUGGUCCUCACAUGCGCUGUUCUGAUCAAGCCUUCUUGAAUAUUUUCUCGAACUAAAUGGCAAUCAAUUUCAAUAUGCUUUGUUCGUUCAUGAAAAAUUGGAUUUGAGGCAAUACGUAAAGCAGCUCAGUUAUCAUAGAACAACAUGACUGGUUGAGGAUGCUUGACUCCCAAGUUUUUCAAGACGUUUUUCAACUUAGUAAUUUCACAUCCUAUAUUAGACAAAGCGCGAUACUCUGCCUUGACAAUUGAUUGGGCCACCGUAGUCUGCUUAUUUUUUUCUGGUAAAUGAAUGAUACUCCAAGAAAUACAAAAUAUCCUGUUAUAGAUCUUCUUGCGUCCUUGCAACGUGCCCAAUCCGCAUCACAAAAUGCCUUUAAUUGAAGUGUGCUUUGGAGAAAAUUAAAAUACCUUGUUUGCUUCAAGUAUUUAAGGACUCUGUGCUGCCUCAAGAUGUGUUACAUGUGGUUUGUCCAUAAAUUGAUUUAAAGCAUGAACAACAUAGACCAAAUCUGGUCUAGUAAUAUUUUAGUAGAUUAAUCUUCCCACAAGGCGCCUAUUUGGCGAAGGAUCACCAAAAAGGUCUCCAUCGGAUUGUGUAAGAACCAAGUUUUAUUCCUUUGGAAACCAUGUUGAUUUAGGUCCCAAAAAUCCAACAUCUUCCAGUAUCUCCAAUGCAUACUAUGACAUGACCUGUCCCGAAUCACCUUAAUGGAUUCGACACGUGUCAUGCACCGAUGGUAGACACCAGCUAAACACCGGACCCACCACCAAAGCAACUUGACUUGCUUGAUUGAAAAAUAUUUUUAACAAAAUUAUGACAGAGUUCCCCUUGAAAUAUGAACUAAAAUCACCUUAACAAUAAUUAGUUUUCUUCAAAUCAAUACCUACAAUAUAAAUAGGAUACGACAAUUCUUCAAAAUACAAAUUAUUCAAAUAAAAUGUGGGCAAAUCAACAUUUCCUUUCUUUACAACCAACAAUUCUCAAAUAUACUAAAGACGCCAAAUAUGCAGUGAACACAUGAUAACCUUUUCUGACAUAAACUACAUAUAAUCCAAAGAAACAUGUACUACAUAGUCUGGAAAAGUAGGUCAUACAAUCUAUGAUGCGUAGCUCAAUAUGGCGGAUCAACAGGCUUUGGAGCUGCUCAAUUCA
rnacentral:lncRNA from 1 species